rnacentral:tRNA from 1 species
GCCGGGGUGGCGGAACCGGUAUACGCGGCCGGCUUAAACCCGGCUGCCCGCAAGGGCUUGAGGGUUCGAAUCCCUCCCCCGGCA